rnacentral:rRNA from 1 species
UGCUGCUGUUAAAAAGCUCGUAGUUGGAUCAAGAGUUGGACUGUGCACGGUGGCCCCAUUUGCUCAGCUGGCUCCGGUCAGGUGGGCGGUGGCGGAUCAACCCCGUGCGCAAAACAGUCCACUCUAACAGACCGAAGCGGUUCCCUGUGAGUAGGCUCCUUCAUUGGGGCUGAAAGCGCUUACGCAUCAACCAUAUGCAUACGGGACGUCGGUCAAUGUUACUGUGAACAAACCAGCGUGUCCAAAACAGGCUUUCGCCUGAAUGUUCGAGCAUGGAAUAACAAGGGAUCGAUUCUCUCGGUUCUUUUUGUUGGUUUUU